UACACUGUGGUACUUAUGUUGUGGUGUA
rnacentral:piRNA from 1 species